GGGCUUGUAGAGUAGUCAGGAUAACUCACCCGCCAGAAAUUCGGGAGAACGUUGGUUCGAAUCCAACCAAGUCCA
rnacentral:tRNA from 1 species